GCCACAGGGGAUCAGGGGGUUUGGGCGCUCCCCCCUGUCAUACUGAUCCCGGUGCCGGGAGGCCACUCGGUUCUGCUGAUCCCGGUGCUAGGAAUCAUAUUACCCUUUUAC